AUACGGAGGAUGCGAGCGUUAUCCGGAUUUAUUGGGUUUAAAGGGAGCGUAGGCGGGAGCUUAAGUCAGCGGUUAAAUGGUGCGGCUCAACCGUGCCCUGCCGUUGAAACUGGGUUUCUUGAGAGUGCAAGAGGCGGACGGAAUUCAUGGUGUCACGGGUGAAUGCUUAGAUAUCAUGAAGAACUCCGAUUGCGAAGGCAGUCCGCUGGGGCACGUCUGACGCUGAUGCUCGAAGGUGCGGGAAUCAAACAGGAUUAGAUACCCUGGUAGUCCGCACGGUAAACGAUGAUUACCCGCUGUCGGCGGUAGACAGUCGGCGGCCAAGCGAAAGCGAUAAGUAAUCCACCUGGGGAGUACGCCGGCAACGGUGAAACUCAAAGGAAUUGACGGGG
rnacentral:rRNA from 1 species